CCUACAGUCGUGCUUUGUUCUGCAAAUUACAAGCUUUUACCUCAAACAGUGGAACUUGAUGUAUGUCUGUAUUUUUUUUCCCCUCCCUCAUUUCAGUGAAGAACUUGGAAACUGGCAGAAGCACUCCAGGAGUAAAGAUGUUUUUUGGCCAUGAAAUAGUCAAUGUGGAAUUGCUGGAUGAACCAAAUUCAGGGAAGGCAACAGCAAUGCUCCCUGAGUGCACUUCAGCUGUUGAAGGGAACAAACAAGCUGACACAGGACCAGCAAAUUGUGGCCCAUGGAGGAGUCCUUGUGUUUCCCUAGAGGGCCAGCUCAGAGCUGCAAAUAGCUUAAAAUACUCCCUCUCAGAGAAGAAGGAAGAAGAGAAUGUGGAAUACACAGUUGUUGAUUGUUUCCAGCAGAAAUUUGGCCCAGCAGUAUUACACCUAAAACAGCAGUGUGUUGUCAGUAUAGCAGGAGAAGGUGUUAAUUUGUGUCGUCAUGGAAAACUCUCAUGGCUUGAGAUAGCAACAGAGAGAUGUAUUUUUCUAUUUGAUAUCUUCCUUCUGGGACCUCAGGCUUUCAAAAAUGGAUUACAAAUGGUGCUGGAAGAUAAAAACAUCUUGAAGGUCAUGCAUGACUGCCGCUGGAUCUCAGACUGCCUCUUUCACCAGUACGGUGUCCUGCUCUGCAAUGUCUUUGAUACGCAGGUUGCUGAUGCUCUGCAGUUCUCAGUGGCAACAGGCGGCUUCCUUCCGCACCGUGUCUGCACAUUAGAGGAGUGUUUGAUGGAGCACUUGAAGAUAUCUUCCAAAUGGGAUGCCAUCAUGAAGUGCAGGCAGCAGAUGGUUUCAGAGAAUCCUGACAUAUGGUUCUUGAGACCUUUUCCAGCUUCUCUGCUUAAAGCCCUUGCUCUGAAGGCUAUGUACCUUCUGCUGCUCCACUCUUCUCUAAUGGAUAAUUUGAUGUCUGACCUAACAGCUGUAGUACAUGGUUAUUUAAAUGCUUAUCGGACUGCACCUGGAGAUCACCUUGGGAGCACAAAGUUACAAUUUACACUUGUGCUCCACCUUGGACCCUUGGUGAACAACAGUCUGGUACAAAGAGCUUCACUUCAUCUUGGAGUCAGUCUCCAACAACAGCAACACUGGAGUCCCUAUGCAUGAUGACUAUUCUCCAGACGUGACCUGGCGCAGUUCCAACACUACUUCAGCAGAAGUAAUGGAUCUCCUUGGAUUCUGAAGUAAAUACCCAUGCCAGGUAAACAUUUUGGAAACCUGAAAUAUGUUAUCUACUGCGCUUUCUCCAUACUGGAGAACUGGAAGAGAGGCCUCUCUUGCUGAAGCAGGACUGCAGCAAAGCCAAAGACAAUAAAUGCUCCAGGGCUGUAAAGAUAUCUUGCACUACUUCGGCUUCUAAAUUGGAAGAUGGACGUAGUUUCUGAGUGAAGAGGAACCAGCUAUGGUACAUCAAGCCUUUACUUGAAAGUUGUGGGAGUGAAAGCCACUAGGCAAGACAGUCUCCAAGUUACCGUGGCCUCUUUGAUUUGCCGGCACUUGGAGAAGAUGACCAGAUCUGGAAACUGACUGACUUCCAUCACUCCAGAUCAAGGGGUUCAGCUUCUGGGAGCAGAUCUGGACCAGAGUCUUCUCCUCUUCGAAACAGCAGCAAGGAAAAAUGAAUAUGAGAGUAAAAGCCAAGCCUGUUCACUUGCCCUUAUGGAUCACUGCAUACACUGAGAGUUGAGGAAAGACAAGUCUGAAUAAGGCUGAUGAAUGUAAUUGUCACCACCCUUCCUUGGGCUCUGUACGCCCAGUCUCCACAGUCUGUUUUCUACACGCACCUCUUGUUCCUCAGUGAGAACUUUGUGUGCUCUAACAGGCCCCCGUUAGUGGCAGAAUACAAGAAUCACUUUCUGGCUAAACGCUUACCUCCUGCUAGGGUCAGAUCAUCCUUGUGGCCUUCAACAUGUUCAGGAGUGCUUGAUUUCAGACUUAAUUGCAUAAUUGUAUGUAUCUGUGUCUAUAAUUUUGCCUUGUUUCUUGAACAGGUGGGGGUUUUGUUUUGUUCCAGCUUGUUUCAACAGAAGCUUGUGCUUUCCCUUUACUUAAGACAAGUUUUCAUAAAUAAUUUGAUGGGAACAAAGUCCUAGAUUGUCAGAGGCCAUAGAUAAGCUGGUAGAAAUGGAGAUUAAUGACAAUUUAUUGCUUUCACAGCAAUAAACUGGUAAGAGCAGAGCAAGCCACAGUUACGUAUUUUGUGCAAAUAGUACGUUUGAGUCUCUGAUUUGGAUGUCAUAAUUCUCAUGAGCAAUCACAGCAGUCACUGGUGGUAGUCCUCGUUUCAGCUGAGGUGUCAGCCAUCUUUUCUUCGCCUUGAUCUUUCAGAUGUUUUGAUGGAAAUGGCAAAGAAACAGGGUCCUUAUGGUCAGCCAGUGGGCAGCCCUUCCAGCAAGGCUUCCACCUUGCUUCUGGAUGGCACAACACAUUCUUUUGUCAUUUGAUAGUUGUUUCAGCAGUAACAGAAGAUGUACUGAGGGGCUGGGCCAUGAGCUGCUAUGCCAGGUGGGAGAUGUGCUGUCAAGGUGUCAGGACGCAACUCCAUGGAUUAGAGCUUCCUUCAGGAAAGCGUUGCAGAAAAGAUGGGUGUCAUGCAUCCUAGCAGUUGCUAGCAACUGUAAAGUAUUGCCAGUGGUCCACAGCAGCCAAAAAUGAUAAUGCAACACCCUUGUUGAUGUAGUACUGGGAGAAGAGA